rnacentral:piRNA from 1 species
UGCUUUGAACUUUGCCUAAGGUAGGUUU